CAAAGUCUGAGUUUGUUCCUGGCUCAGAAGGAACGCUAGCGAUAUGCAUAACACAUGCAAGUUGAACGUUGUUUUCAGGGAGCUGGGCCGAAGGAAAAGUGUCUCCUAGCUAAAUUUGUCUCGCCCUGCUUCAAAACUAUAGGACUAGCGCUACGUCUUUGACCUAACGGCCUCUGUUUGCUGGAAUCGGAAUAGUUGAGAACAAAGUGGCAAACGGGUGUGUAACGCGUGGGAAUCUACCGAACAGUUCGGGUCAAAUCCUAAAGAAAGCUCAAUAGUGAUAUUUGAUGAGCCUGCAUAGUAUUAGGUAGUUUGUCAGGUAAAGGCUGACCAAGCCAAUCAUGCUUAGCUGGUGUUUUCAGAUGAUCAGCCACACUGGGACUAAGACACGGCCCGGACUCCCACGGGGGGCAGAAGUGGGGAAUCUUGGACAAUGGGCGAAAGCCCGAUCCAGCAAUAUCGCGUGUGGGAAGAAGGGAAAUGCCGCUUGUAAAGCUCUUUCGUCAAGUGCGCGAUCAUGACAGGACUCGAGGAAGAAGCACCGGCUAAUUCCGUGCCAGCAGCCGCAGUAAGAUGGGGGGGGGGGCAAGUGUUCUUCAGAAUGACUGGGCGUAAAGGGCACGUAGGCGGUGAAUCGGGUUGAAAGUGAAAGUCACCAAAAAGUGGCGGAAUGCUCUCAAAAACAAUUCACUUGAGUGAGAGAAUGGAGAGUGGAAUUUCGUGUGUAGGCGUGAAAUCCGUAGAUCUAUGAAGGAACGCCAAAAGCGAAGCAGCUCUCUAGGUCCCUACCAACGUAUCUAUAUUUUUUGAUUGUUCCAUGCUAUUAUAUUAUUU
rnacentral:ncRNA from 1 species